GAUGAACGCUGGCGGCGUGCCUAAUACAUGCAAGUCGAGCGAACAGACGAGGAGCUUGCUCCUCUGACGUUAGCGGCGGACGGGUGAGUAACACGUGGAUAACCUACCUAUAAGACUGGGAUAACUUCGGGAAACCGGAGCUAAUACCGGAUAAUAUAUUGAACCGCAUGGUUCAAUAAUGAAAGACGGUUUUGCUGUCACUUAUAGAUGGAUCCGCGCCGCAUUAGCUAGUUGGUAAGGUAACGGCUUACCAAGGCGACGAUGCGUAGCCGACCUGAGAGGGUGAUCGGCCACACUGGAACUGAGACACGGUCCAGACUCCUACGGGAGGCAGCAGUAGGGAAUCUUCCGCAAUGGGCGAAAGCCUGACGGAGCAACGCCGCGUGAGUGAUGUAGGUCUUCGGAUCGUAAAACUCUGUUAUUAGGGAAGAACAAAUGUGUAAGUAACUAUGCACGUCUUGACGGUACCUAAUCAGAAAGCCACGGCUAACUACGUG
rnacentral:rRNA from 1 species